rnacentral:rRNA from 1 species
GGCGAAAGCCUGAUCCAGCCAUGCCGCGUGUGUGAAGAAGGUCUUCGGAUUGUAAAGCACUUUAAGUUGGGAGGAAGGGCAGUAAGUUAAUACCUUGCUGUUUUGACGUUACCAACAGAAUAAGCACCGGCUAACUUCGUGCCAGCAGCCGCGGUAAUACGAAGGGUGCAAGCGUUAAUCGGAAUUACUGGGCGUAAAGCGCGCGUAGGUGGUUCAGCAAGUUGGAUGUGAAAUCCCCGGGCUCAACCUGGGAACUGCAUCCAAAACUACUGAGCUAGAGUACGGUAGAGGGUGGUGGAAUUUCCUGUGUAGCGGUGAAAUGCGUAGAUAUAGGAAGGAACACCAGUGGCGAAGGCGACCACCUGGACUGAUACUGACACUGAGGUGCGAAAGCGUGGGGAGCAAACAGG